rnacentral:rRNA from 1 species
UACGGAAGGCAGCAGUGGGGAAUAUUGCACAAUGGGCGAAAGCCUGAUGCAGCUAUGCCGCGUGUAUGAAGAAGGCCUUAGGGUUGUAAAGUACUUUCAUCGGGGAGGAAAAAACAAAACUAAUAAUUUUAUUUCUUGACGUUACCCGAAAAAGAAGCACCGGCUAACUCCGUCGCCAGCAGCCGCGGUAAUACGGAGGGUGCUAGCGUUAAUCAGAAUUACUGGGCGUAAAGAGCACGUAGGUGGUUUUUUAAGUCAGAUGUGAAAUCCCUGGGCUUAACCUAGGAACUGCAUUUUGAAACUGAAAUACUAGAGUAUCGUAGAGGGAGGUAGAAUUCUAGGUGUAGCGGUGAAAUGCGUAGAUAUCUGGAGGAAUACCUGUGGCGAAAGCGGCCUCCUAAACGAAUACUGACACUGAGGUGCGAAAGCGUGGGGAGCAAACAGGGAUUAGAUACC